rnacentral:sRNA from 1 species
AGGGCAGAGAUAUCCACAAACAGCCCACGCAAGCUCGCUUGCUAAGGGGUGCUUGUGGAUAUUUUUAUUCCCGCGGGCAACGAGCCAAAUGGAAAUGCUUGCAUUUCCAUUUGGCGACUGCCGCGAGGGUCAAAGACCCCGCAGCUUGCUGCGCU